rnacentral:rRNA from 1 species
UACGUAGGGGGCAAGCGUUGUCCGGAUUUAUUGGGCGUAAAGAGCGUGUAGGCGGCUUGGUAGGUCCGCUGUGAAAACUCGAGGCUCAACCUCGAGAUGUCGGCGGAAACCACUUGGCUAGAGUCCGGAAGAGGAGAGUGGAAUUCCCGGUGUAGCGGUGAAAUGCGCAGAUAUCGGGAAGAACACCUAUGGCGAAGGCAGCUCGCUGGGACGGUAUUGACGCUAAGGCGCAAAAGCGUGGGGAGCAAACAGG